rnacentral:tRNA from 2 species
GGGGCGAUGGUUCAACAGGAGAACACUGCACUCGCACUGCAGAGAUCGGGGUGCGAUUCCCCGUCGCUCCA